rnacentral:rRNA from 1 species
UACGUAGGGUGCAAGCGUUGUCCGGAAUUAUUGGGCGUAAAGAGCUCGUAGGCGGUUUGUCGCGUCUGCUGUGAAAACUGGAGGCUCAACCUCCAGCCUGCAGUGGGUACGGGCAAACUAGAGUGCGGUAGGGGAGAUUGGAAUUCCUGGUGUAGCGGUGGAAUGCGCAGAUAUCAGGAGGAACACCGAUGGCGAAGGCAGAUCUCUGGGCCGUGAACUGACGCUGAGGAGCGAAAGCGUGGGGAGCGAACAGG